rnacentral:lncRNA from 1 species
GAUCCAAUAAAGCCUAGAAGGGCAUACAUAUUAAUCUGGAUUCUAGUCUGAUAAAGCCCUUAAGGACGUACAAGCUAAUCCAGAUUUCAAUCCGGUAAUGUUAAUCCAAAUUCCAGUCUGGUAAACCUCCAAAGGCAUACAUAUUAAUUGGGAUUUUAAUCCGGUAAAGCCCUGAAAGGCAUGCAUGUUAAUCCAAAUUUCAAUCUAGUA